UCGCGGCUUAUCACCGGCAGUCCCCUUAGAGUGCCCAACUAAAUGAUGGCAACUAAGGGCGAGGGUUGCGUUCGUUGCGGGACUUAACCCAACAUCUCACGACACGAGCUGACGACAGCCAUGCAGCAUCUGUGCCCCACCCUCGAAGGCGACCGCCUUUCAGCGGCGUGCAGGGGCAUGUCAAACCUGGGUAAGGUUCUGCGCGUUGCGUCGAAUUAAACCACACGCUCCGCUGCUUGUGCGGGCCCCCGUCAAUUCCUUUGAGUUUAAGCCUUGCGGCCGUACUCCCCAGGCGGUCAACUUCACGCGUUAGCUUCGUUACCAAGGAAUUACUUCCCCGACAACCAGUUGACAUCGUUUAGGGCGUGGACUAC
rnacentral:misc_RNA from 1 species